rnacentral:rRNA from 1 species
UACGUAGGGGGCAAGCGUUGUUCGGAAUUACUGGGCGUAAAGGGCGCGUAGGCGGCACGACAAGUCGGGAGUGAAAGCCCGGGGCUCAACCCCGGAAUGUCUCUCGAAACUGUCGAGCUAGAGUGCAGCAGAGGCAACUGGAAUUCCCAGUGUAGCGGUAAAAUGCGUAGAUAUUGGGAAGAACACCUGAGGCGAAGGCGGGUUGCUGGGCUGACACUGACGCUGAGGCGCGAAAGCCAGGGGAGCGAACGGG